GAAUGGGUUGAAUUCUUGGAAGCUCAUGAUGUGAAACUUCUUAUCACUGAGAAAAAUGCCAAGCAGAUCUUACUUGAUGUGGCACACAAAGAAAUUGUGCAAGAUCCAGCUUACAUAGCAGAAUGUUGGAGUCCGGUGUUGAAAAAACUGAAACUACCUCCAGGGGGACUAAAUGAAUUGAUGAUGAGCCUUACUCCAACAGCAAGAAAAGUUAUAGCCAUAUUACAACAUGAAACACUUAAUAACAGAGAAUGCCAGGUCAUGGAUUAUCUUAAGAGGUUCAUCAAGCACUGUAGUGAUGUUCGGCUCAGGAAAUUUCUGCGUUUCUGCACAGGAGCUGACCUCCUUUUUGCAAGGUUUAUUCAUGUCCGAUUUGUGCAGCCACAAACGUCCUUCACAAGAUCUUCCCAGUCCCACACCUGUGGAUGUGUGUUAGAAGUUCCAAACAAUUAUACUUGAUACCCUGAGCUUGCAGAGGAGUUCAUAAACAUCCUUGAUGCAAACAUAUGGGUGAUGGAUAUUGUGUAAAGGUGGUCAGACAGUAUGUGAAGCAGGAUAUGACUGUUUCUUUGUAUCAUUCACAGUCUCCAUCUCACACACAGUUUCCUGACAAACUUUUUAUCCUGCACAAGAUAAUGUUUCAUAAAAGCUCAGAUGUUCUUACAGCAGUGUUACAAUGUGAUAUAUGUGUUUCAAAGCGCAUACAGGUUCACAUUCAGUUUAAAUGUACUUAUGUUUUCAGAAUUUAUACUGCCUAAAUAGUA